GAUGCAUUCAUAUUUAUUAUUUUUGUAAUUUUUGCAUGGGUAAAACUAAUUUACUAAAAACUUUAUUUACAUUACGAUCGCGGCAAAUUGACGCACAUCCGUAGAGAUACCACACAGCAAAUUUCGAUAUUUCAAAACUUUUGAAGAAAAUAGACUUCAAUAUAUAUUUACCUCGGUCAAUGGAUAAAAGUCAGUACAAAAGAUAAAAUAAAAGUGCGAACGGUUUUUGUAAUUUUCCUAAAAAGGUUUGAAAUGCGUUAAAAUGACGCGUCCCGUAAACCUAGUGUUAAGCAUCUAGCAUGUGCAAAUUUAUUUACAUUGUAGAGAAUGGCGCUAUCGAAAGAAAUUAAUGUGCUAUCUAUGUCGUUCAAAGAGCAGCCAAAGUAAAUUAUCUGCCUCGUUCACAUUAUAUAAAAGGUGUUACUCAAGUGCAUAAGUUUUUCUGAGAUAAAGCUACGAGGAGGAGAAUUUAAUGCGGAAAGUGUAUUCUAGCAACGUGCCACGAGAUUAUAAAACAAGAAGUUAAAUAACGAGAUGACCUUAUAAUCGAAUAAGAUUUAAUAUCUGGGGUAAAGAGCACUAAUGAGACAUCAGACUAAAUGACACAGCAAGAAUUAUGUUGUGCUUUUAUUUUUAUUUCUUUUCUCUGAAAUGAGAUAUCAAAAUUUUUAUUAUUAUUUAUAUGGGACAAAUCUUUGUUUUUUUAAAUAUCAGUAUGUCUAUUUUCUAACGUGCUCCGCUUAUAAAUUCAACAUCUAACGUCUUAAUUAACUUAUCUUAAUUGCUAAACUUGUUUGUUACUCUUGAAACGUGGAGGGUUUCAUGAAACAGAAAAUUGUCGUUAACUUUAGGAAGAUGAACUGCAAACUUCUUAAUUAGCACGUCGAUUGCUCGUCUUAAACAUUGCCGGAGACAUGAAGCAUUUGUGAGAUUAACGAUUUAUCUAGAAAAUAUCUGAGGCAUGCUACGAGUUCUAAAUAACUUCAUUCGACAUUUCAUUCAAAUGGAAAGUAUGGUACAAUUUAAUAAAUUACACGGUGUGAUACUUGAAUGUGAUAAACAGCAACUUUUGGUUGAAAUGGUGGAUUAAUUUUUUAAUUAAUAUAUUUAGAUGUUAUCGGAAGAAAUGUCGGUUCAACUUCUAGAUUCACAAAUUUCCUAAUGUUUAAAUUUUCAAAUUUAUAAAUCUUCAAAUUGUUGAAUUUUAAAAUUUACAA